CACUCAAGGUUGGCCUUGAAGAACACUUAUGAGAGAAAGUAUUCCUAAUGGAAUUCCUAAUUUAAAAAAAAUUUUUUUUAAUUUAUUUAUGAUAGUCACACAGAGAGAGAGAGAGAGAGGCAGAGACACAGGCAGAGGGAGAAGCAGGCUCCAUGCACUGGGAGCCCGACAUGGGAUUCGAUCCCAGGUCUCCAGGAUCGCGCCCCGGGCCAAAGGCAGGCGCCAAACCGCUGCGCCACCCAGGGAUCCCCCGGAAUUCCUAAUUUGAAAAUGAAUCUCUUCUAUGGCCUGAGAAGGGCUCCAGGACGNCGCGCCCCGGGCCAAAGGCAGGCACCAAACCGCUGCGCCACCCAGGGAUCCCCCAGAAUUCCUAAUUUGAAAAUGAAUCUCUUCUAUGGCCUGAGAAGGGCUUCAGGACCAGAUGUUCAUACCCUUCAUGCCCAAGGACCUGGAUCACCAUUCCAGAAAUCAAGGCCAGCAGAAGAGCUGGAUGAGGCCACAGACACAAAGGAAGUAUCAUGUUCUAGGAACUAUUGCAAGGACCACUCUACGGGAGUUUAGCUGCCUCCCAUGAAUUUGCAAGAGGAAAAGUGCUCUCCAGGUUUGUGAUGAGGGAGGGAAGGGAAAGAGCAAAGGAAUAUACAUAAUGUCAGGACUUCAAGGAAGACAAACAAAAAUAGCCAAGAAGUAAAACCGAUGAGAGUGAUCGAGAUGGUAAAUGAAGAACCAGAUAUACACUGCUCUAGAAGUCAAAUGUAGAGACUGAAGAAGGGAGGUCAGAGAAGC
rnacentral:lncRNA from 1 species